rnacentral:rRNA from 1 species
UGAUACGUAGGGUGCGAGCGUUGUCCGGAAUUAUUGGGCGUAAAGAGCUCGUAGGCGGUCUGUCGCGUCGGAAGUGAAAACUCGGGGCUUAACCCCGAGCCUGCUUUCGAUACGGGCAGACUUGAGGAAUGUAGGGGAGAACGGAAUUCCUGGUGGAGCGGUGGAAUGCGCAGAUAUCAGGAGGAACACCAGUGGCGAAGGCGGUUCUCUGGACAUUAACUGACGCUGAGGAGCGAAAGCGUGGGGAGCAAACAGG